rnacentral:rRNA from 1 species
CCUACGGGAGGCAGCAGUAGGGAAUCUUCCGCAAUGGACGAAAGUCUGACGGAGCAACGCCGCGUGAACGAUGAAGGCCUUCGGGUCGUAAAGUUCUGUUGUUAGGGAAGAACAAGUGCUAGUUAAAUAAGCUGGCACCUUGACGGUACCUAACCAGAAAGCCACGGCUAACUACGUGCCAGCAGCCGCGGUAAUACGUAGGUGGCAAGCGUUGUCCGGAAUUAUUGGGCGUAAAGCGCGCGCAGGCGGUUUCUUAAGUCUGAUGUGAAAGCCCCCGGCUCAACCGGGGAGGGUCAUUGGAAACUGGGAAACUUGAGUGCAGAAGAGGAAAGUGGAAUUCCAAGUGUAGCGGUGAAAUGCGUAGAGAUUUGGAGGAACACCAGUGGCGAAGGCGACUUUCUGGUCUGUAACUGACGCUGAGGCGCGAAAGCGUGGGGAGCAAACAGGAUUAGAUACCCUGGUAGUCCACGCUGUAAACGAUGAGUGCUAAGUGUUAGAGGGUUUCCGCCCUUUAGUGCUGAAGUUAACGCAUUAAGCACUCCGCCUGGGGGAGUACGGUCGCAAGACUGAAACUCAAAUGAAUUGACGG